GACGGAGGGUGCUAGCGUUGUUCGGAAUCACUGGGCGUAAAGGGCGCGUAGGCGGCCUUGCAAGUCGGUUGGUGAAAGCCCGGGGCUCAACCCCGGAGGUGCGGCCGAGACUGCAGGGCUGGAGGCCGGAAGAGGAGGGUGGAAUACCCAGUGUAGAGGUGAAAUUCGUAGAUAUUGGGUGGAACACCGGUGGCGAAAGCGGCUCUCUGGUCCGGACCUGACGCUGAGGCGCGAAAGCGUGGGGAGCAAACAGG
rnacentral:rRNA from 2 species